AGUAGGGGAUAAAACACUAAUCUUAGAGUUUGAGCUGUUUAAUGUAUCUAG
rnacentral:tRNA from 1 species